UAUGAUACACAUCACAAAAAAAAAUUUUAAUUAAAUUUUGAUUUUUAGAACUACAAUAAAAAUAUUUAUUAUUUGACUAAAUUACAAAAAAUUUUUCUGUAAUUAUCCGUUUUUUUAUUAUGGCAUUUAAAAACCUACACUUUACUCCCUUAUAAAAUAAAAAAUAUUCACAUGAAAUUACGAUGUGUAAAAUGACCAUUUUGCCCCUGGCCGUUUUCGUCUUUUUUCUCAUCUUUCUCAGCUGCCCCUUCGAUCGGCUGCGAUUUCCAUCUCAAUCGGCCGCGAUUUCUCUUCAUUUCAUUCUCCACCUGCUCCCCUUCUCCUCCUGCACCCUCGCCGCCUCUCGAUUUCGACGAUAGUAGGAAAAAAAUCGAUGUGGGUGUUGAUGGAAAGAUAGGCAAUGACAACGAGGACAAAGACGAGACGGCGGAGGAGGACGAAGGAAAUGUGGGCGAGGGCGAGGCAAUGGAGGACGGCGAGGCGGCGGCGAGGCGGAAGGAGACGAAGCAACAAGAAAGAGAACGAAGGAGUAUUUUCGGCAUAAAAAAAUAUUUUAUAACGGAAUCCUAACGAUAGAGAGUAAAAUGCACAUUUUUAAUUUUACAAUAAGAUAAAGUAUAGAUUUUUAAAUGUCAGAGAAAAAAAAUAAAAAAACAGAUUAUUAUAAAAAAAAAUUUUAUAAUUUAACCUUAUUAUUUUAUCAAUUUGUUGAAAUAUUAUCUUCUUUUGUCCAGCUCAUACUAUCAAUUCAACAAUUUAAAAAUUCAAUUUCUAAUAGAGAUUGAGAAAAAUUAAAAAGACGGAUAUUUACACGGAGGUUUUGUGUAAUUUAGCUUCUUUUGUUUCAUUAGUGUGCGUUUUUUCACCUGAGCCGGGCUGGCGAGGGAAAGACGGCGUCCCAGAUGUCGCCGAAGGCUGUGGUGAUGGCGCGGUGGUGGCGGCGGUCGUUGAGCGAGAGCAAGCAGCGGAGCAGCUGCUCCAGCCCGGCGGCGUCGUAGAUCUCCUUCUCCACCACCAUCUCCGCCAUCGACCGCCGGAAGUCCCCCCGUGGGUCCUCCGACCUCUUCACCACCGCGAAGCUCUCCCCCACCCUCCCCUCAACCGCCACCGCCGCACUCCGCCGCCGGAGAAAUUUCUCCGGCGACGACACCGGCGUCUCCGUCUCGUCGUCGUCGUCCUCCUCCUCCUCCCCCUCCUCCUCCUCCUCGCCGCUCGAGAGCCGCGCGCUCCCCGCGCCGCGGCGCCUCCACCGCGGCCGUCCGCCGUCGGAGUCGAUUUUCCGGCGGGGGGAGGAGUCGCCGUCGCCGGGGGUGACGACGUGCCACUUCUCCUCCCGGCGCCAGAGGUACGCCGGCGCGCCGCCCGCGAGGGGGACCUCGUCGCCGUCGCCGUCGGAGCACAUCUGCCGGCGCCUCCGCCGCGAUCUCCGGCGAUCUGGGGAUAACGGCGUGGGUAACGGCGACGUCGCCGUCGGUGGAGCGGCAGCUGUGGAAGGAGGGGAAAGCGCGGGUUAUCCUGAAACGGAACCGCUUGGCCAUGGGAAACAACACUGCAGUAAUAAGAUCACUGCAGAGGAGGAGGGAGAUUAAAAGUUAAAACAAAAAAAAGAAAACAGAAGAAAAAGGGCGUUGCGAUUAGAAAAGAUGGUGGGCCAUUUUAUACACUCUGCUAGAUUACUUUGGUAGGAAUGUUUGUUACACCGUUGGCUUCAGCUGUGAGGGGUGGUGGGAUGGUGCGUCCUAAAAUAGGAGCCGGCUUGGAAAAAUUUGAUAUUAUCAUUUUUAUAAUUAGAGAAACAGUAAAUGCAUAUCUACUCUUCAAAAAUUAUGAGCCGUUUGACAUUUUAAUUCAUAAAUUUUAUUUUUUUAUAAAUUUUAGUUCUAUAAUCUAUAAUUUAUAAUCCAAUUUAGUUGACUAAAUAUUAAAAUAUUACUAAUGUAAAAGUGAUAUAGCAUUUAUAUUACAUUUUACCACCUUCACAUUAGUGAUAUAUGAAAGUUUGAGCCAUAAUUUAUAAAAAAAAAUUAAAAUUUGGGAACUAAAGUGUCAUCCUCUGAUAGUUUGAGGAGCAAACAUGUAAUUUAUCCUUAGAAAAAUUAUAGCUAAGCGUUUUAGAGGGGAGCAAGCUCAUGCUAAGCUCAGCAAUAUAUCGGGUGAAUUGCACCGAAGUAGUCCGCGGAGUUCUCAUCCACUUUUGCUUUUGUUCUCAAAAUUCUCACUUUAGUUGUUGUCCUAAUUUACAUUAGCAAUGCAGCUAGAAUUUUUUUUACUUUGUAUAGGUCGCAUCUGUAAAACCAUACAUUAUGCAUGGAGCAAUUGUUCUGUAUAUCAAUUCCACGGUUCGUUCUUUAAAUUUUUCUUGCUGCAAAUUUAAAUGGUUGAAUUGAGACUAUGAGAUGAAUAAAGAGCCAAUCAUAUAUAGAAGUACGGCUAGAACUUUUAAACGUAAACGAGAUCAUUUAAUUUGCAUCAUUUUCAACGUCUGAAUUAACGAUUAAUACUGUUAAACACUAUCGUAACUAUCUAAACUUUUUAUGCCUCUAAUUUUAUAAUUUUUAAAAAUAAAUUUUCAAAUAAGCAGAUGGUCUCAAAUAAUCUUAUAAUACUCCUUUGAAAUAGUUAAUUUUGAAAUCAUAUGAAUGCUACGCAAAUAACGCAAUUUAAAACCUAAAGCGUUUAUAUAGUCUAGAUCAAUUUUGGCGGUGGUAAUAGUCAAUCGGACCGUCCUAUCACCAACAAUGACACGAAAGUAUAUAACUUCAUUUAAUUUUUGAAAUAUUCCAGCUUCAUUCAUUCUUUCUUUUUCUUUGCAAGAUUUAUUGGCAAAAAUUUUGAAAGUUUUUUAUUUUUGAGAGAUAGGUAGCAUGUUAGCCGUUUCGUUUAUUUUAUUUUAAAAAUAAACAUAACUGAAAAUAUAAAUCAACUAGGAUUCGAACUUGAGACCUAGGGUAUCACCCACAAAGUCCUUUAAAAUUUUGAGAAUUGUUAAAUACAAAUAAUUACAUUCAAAAUUUCAAGAAUCAAAUUAAAAACUUGAGUAGCAUAGUACAACCAAUACUCUGAAGAUUUGAGUAGCUUCCAGAUGAUUCGUUGCAGUGGAAUCCCAGAAUUCCGCUUCCCACGUGUAAAUAGAGUUGGGCGGGAGUAGAUUUCCAAAUUCCAAGAAAAAAUUGCUUGAACCUUGUGUACUAUUAUACUCUAUGAACCAAAAGGGCAUUUAGUUAGAUGAAAUUGUAAAUGCAUUAUAAUUAAUCUAUAUAGUCAAAAAUAUAUCAGUUAUACUAUACUCUUAUGAAUAUAAUUUUUUUUGUACUCAUAAGUUUUUGACCGCUAGAUCUACUCCUUUUAUCAUUUCCACCCGUUAGAUCAUACUAUUAAACCAACCACCAUUCAACCCUAACAGACCACUAUUGACCUAAUCGGAGACCACUAUCAUCUUAAUCACGCAUCUCUUCAUCCAAUGGUCGAAAAUUUAUGAGUACAAAGAGGGCUAUAUUCAUAAGAGUAUAGUAGCCUUAGCCCAGUUAUAUAUAUAUAUAUAUAUAUAUAUAUAGGGUCCGGCUACUAUCCUAUUAAUAGGAUUGGGACCCUUAUCCUAUUAAGUCGAUUUGAAUGAUCGGAACUUUAAAUUGAAAAUCGGCACCGUUGAAGUUGAUCUACACAAUUAAAAUUGUUUAGAAACCAAAUUUUGUAAUAUUUAAAAAUCAUUAUCAAGUUCAUCUUAAGAGUUAAAAAAUGAACGGUCAUAAAUGAAUAACCUUCUUAAAAUAGAGGUUAGACUUUCUCAGUUUGUAAUCAGAGUUAUCAAAUAUUAUCUAAAUAGUAUAAAGAAUUUUCUAUCAAAAAUUUAAGCAAUUUGGAUUGCUCUAUACCGUUAAACAAGCAAACGGCUCAUAUAGGCUGUCAAAAAUUGUCGAUUUUACGACACUUUGAUCACCAUGUAAACUAUUAUCAAAAUUUAUGAAAUUUAGUUUCCAGAUAUUUCAAAUAUUCUAGAUCAACUUCAACGGCUCCGAUCAUCGAUUUGGAAUCUCGAUCAUCAAAAACAACUUGAUAGGACAAGUGCUCCUAUCCUAUUAAUAGGAUAGUAGCAUUAGCCUAUAUAUAUAUAUAUAUAUAUAUAUAUAUACUAAAAAGUGUUAUAACUAUAAAUAAGUUAUUUGUGACAUAUGGUUCAGAACAAUAUUUUUAAAUUUUAUCACUUUUUAUAUAUAUAAUAGUGAGAUUAUUAUUAAUGUAGAAGAAACAAAAUUUUUUUUUUUAAAUAAAAAUUAUUUUUUAUUUAAAGUUACUCUUUCAAAAUAAUACAAUUGGUAUUAUGACUAGUUUGGACAUAAUUUUUAAUUCUGUUGUUGAUCUUCCUGGUAUAAUUUCAACUAUAGAAAUUAAAUUUAAAUAUAUAAAAAAAACACAAUAUUUAGAUCUAUAUUCAAUUACAAGUUUGCAUCUACAUAUAAUUAAAUAGUUCCUACGAUUUCAUUAUCUAUGCAAUAAAAAUAAGUUUUAUUAUAAGGGUGCGUUUGGUUCGCGCUAUUUUUUAAAGAUUCCUAGUAAUCCAAUAGGAAUAAAAAUAUAUGACGGUGUUUGGCUAAACGCACUAAGUAAUCUAGUUGGUAAUAUUAGAUUCACUUGGGAAUAAGAUUCACACCAAAGUACUAAUCUCAUUCCCUUGAGAGAUGGUGGGUAUCCUCAUAUUAAUGGAUUGGAGUAAUUAUAAUAUGUCUAAUCUCUUUCUUUCUUCCUACCCGCCGGCAAUUGAUAUUAUUUUUCGUUACACUCUAAGGUAUCGUUUGGUUCGGGGAUAAGCAAAAAGUUGGUAUUCCAGGGAUAGGUAUAAAUUGAGGUAUAAGCGGGGAUUAGAUCAAUUUUGCGUUUGGAUGAAAAUUGGGUUAUUCCUGGGAAUAAGAAAAAUAACGUUUGGUUAGGUAAGAUAAAAUAAGAUUUAAAGUGGGUAGUUAUAAAUAAAAAUUAAUAAUAUUAUCACUUUUUUAUUUAUAUUAGAAUUUAAAUAUUUAUAUUUUAUAUUUAUAUUUUAAAAUUUAAAUUUUAACUUUUAAAUUUCAAAUUUUGAAAUUAAAAUUUAAAAUUUAAAAUCUCAAAUUUUAAAUUCAAAAUUUAAAUUUUAAAUUUCUAACUUUAAAUUUAAGAUCAAAUUUAAAUUUGAAAAAAAAUAAAAUUCAAAUUUAAAAUUUCAAAAAUUUAAAAUUUUAAAAUUUAAAUUUAAAAUUUAAAAUGUGGAAUUUAAAAUUAUAAACUUUAAUUUUGAGAUUACAAAUUUUAAAUUUUAAAUAUAAUUUAUUAUAAUAUUUUAAAUUUUAAAUUUAUUUAAAUUUUAAAUUUUAAUUUAUUUUAAUAUUUAAAUAUAAUUUAUUAUAAAAUUUAUUAUAAUAUUUAAAUAUAAAUAAUAUGUAUUAAUAUAGCACAAUUAAUAAUUUUAUUAUAAAAAUAAUGUAUUAUAAUAUAUAAUAUAUUAUAUUUAUAUAAUUUAGUUUUAAUUUAUUUUAUAAUUUUAAUUAAGUUUGAAAUUAAGCAUGAAAAUAGCACUAUUCCACCAAAAUGGUGGAAUAGUAAAAAGCUUGCUAUUCCGGGAUAACCGAGAAUAGCAAGCUUUGACCGGAAUAAAAUAUUUCGGUAAAAAAUGAUCCCGUUUGGCGGAAUAAUGGGGAUAACUUUUGUUAUCCCCGCUUAUCCUCCUAACCAAACGGGGCCUAACCUUAUAUCUCUCUCUAAACUUAUUUUUCUAUCUAAAUUCAACUUUUUUUCUCUCUCUCUUUCUAAAAUUUCAACUCUCUCACUCCCUUUAAUUUCGACUAUAUUUUUCUUCCUAUUUUUUUAAUUAUGCUCUCUCUCUCUCUAACUUAUACUCUCUCUCCCUUUUUUCUAAAAAUAUGUUGAAACUUUUUGUAACAUUAUCUAAAAUUAAUUAAAUAAAUAAAUUAAUUAAUUGUAUAUUUUUUGUAACAUUAAAUAACAUGGCUAAUUAAUAUUACCGUGCGAACCAAACAUAGGAAUUUCACAUUCUUAGUAAUAGAAUGAAUAGGAAUAAGAUUCUCGGAUAUCUUUUAUUCCUAGUAAUCUUUCAUAAUGCGAACCAAACGCACCCUAAUAGGGAUCCAACUGGAAUGUUUCUCGAAGUAAACCGAAGAGUUUACUUUUACAUUGUUUCCAGUGAUGGAAUUUGACUUAACGAGUCACACCGUUAAGCUUAAUUUAGGUCAUUUGAACUUUUUAAAUUUCAAAUUUUAUUAUUUUGUUAUAUAAUUUGUCUAGUAUUCUAGUGGUCUUAAAUUUAAAAAUUUUUAAUGGCUAAUAUAAAAAAAUUUUGAUACUACUUAAUUACUAGGCAAAAAAUAUUCCAAAAUCACAAAAAAUAAAAAUAAAAAUAAAAAAUUUAAAUAGCAUAAAUUAUGUUUAAAGGUAUAGAUCGUGGAUUUAAAUUCUCUACAGGUAGAAAAAAUAUGAAAAUAAAAUUCUCUGUUUACUAUCAAAAGUACUCGCAUCAUUUUUCUAACAUAUAAAAUUUUCAACAGCUUAUAGUCUAUAGAUCCUACGUGUAAAAUAAUUAUAUAUUUUAAAAUAAUCUAUAAUUCAAAUAAUAAGUAUUUUCAAAAAUAAAGAAUAGUAAUAAUACACCCUAAAAGAUGGCGUAGAUCUUAAAACCCCACAUUCGAAAGUUUACAAAUUCUAAUAAAUUUGCUAUAUUAAUAAUUUAAUAAAAUAUUAAAAAUUAUUGACAUUCGAAUGAAAGAAACGCAAGAUUUAUGCUUCUUUUAAAAUGUAUAUAUAAUAUUGUUCUUCAAAGACAUAUAAUUUUUUAAAAUUAAUUACAUACAGCUCUUUGCAAAUAUAUCGAAUAGCAGAUAUAUUCUUAGAAAGUUCAAAUUUUUAUAUUUAUUUUUUUAAAAGUUCUAACGUUUUCAAAUAUACCUCUAUUAUUAAGAUCUGUUAGAAAAAUAUAAUUAACUAUAAAUAAAAUACUUAAUCCUGGUCAGUAAUUAAAUGAGGUAAAUUGACCUUUUUACCCUUCUUAUAUUAUGUGUUAUUGCAAGAAAGAAGAAGAUGAUCGUUGGUAAUUUUUGAAAGGAUAUUUUCACAUAAUUUCAAUUGUUGGAGCUUUUGGAGGGACUUAUUUGUGAUAACAAAAAUAUUAUUUCAUUUAUCUUAUAUUAAAAAAUAAGCAGUACUCUAACAGCAGAGGGCUAAAUAUUUAUAUAACUGAACUUUUGUAAAAAUAAAUAUGAAAAGUUGAACUUUGUAAGAAUAUAUUUGUUAUUCGAUAUUUGUAUAGAAAACUAUAUGAAUUAACCUUUUUUUUGUAUGUGAACUUUUUAAAUAGGGUUAAUUUCAUACAUAUCCCUGCAAAUAUAGUAAAUUACAAAUAUAUUUCUAUAAAUUUCAACUUUUAUAUAUUGUUUCUAGAAAAAUUUUAAUAUUUUCAAAUUUGUCCCCGGCGUUAAAAUCUAUUAGAAAACUUUAAUUAACCAAAGAUUAAAUGCCUAACUUUGGUUAAUUUAUGAGAUAACUGGACUUUUUUUCUCUUAUGUUAUACUGUUGUGGUUUUUGGAGGCACAUAUUUGUGAUUGCAAAAUUGACAUUUAACUAAAAAUAUAAAUAAUUUUAUAACGGUAACAAACCAGAGGAACAUAUUUGAAAAUAUUAUAAUUUUUAUAGAAACAACAUAUAAAAAUUGAACUUUGUAAAGAUAUAUUUAUAAUUUACUAUAGAUUUACAGAGGCAUGAAUGCAUCUAACCUUUUUAAAUAUGUGAUGUGCAGGUACACCAGGUGCAGGCAAUUAUUUCUCGUCGUUCCCCUUCCCCCCAGUGGCCGUAACUGUGCGCGGGAGUUACGAGGCUCCGAAACCGUACCAUCUUUGACGAGUUCCCACGCAACACCCACAUACAAAAGCUCCGCAGAGCCCAAAUAUUCAAACCGAGGAAUCCAUCACCUAUUCGUACCAAAACUGCAUUCACGAAACUCGUCCAAUAGACAAUCGCCACGUGGUUUGAAAGAUAGGACGCCUUGUUUUUUGCGCACGUGGCGUGAUAGUUGUGGGCUGAUGGACUGUACUGAAUUGCAGCGAUGCGUGCGGAAUGGGGGACAUUCGGUUUAAAGGUGGAGAGUGAAAAUUUUUUCGAGACACCCUCAACUGUAGCAAAUUUGAAAUGAGCCCCUGAAGUUUAAUUUUUUUAAUUUAAAAUUUUUAAAUUUUUAAAGAAAUCAGCAUUCUAUCUCAUUAGGAAAUUCGAAUUGGACCGAGUUAUGAUCGAAAUUCUUUAUCUAUUCACAUUAGUUUAAUUAUUGUCCCUUUUUUAACUGUUCGAAUUUUUCGAUUCAACAAUAUAUGUUGAGAUAUUUAUUUGAAUGUCAAAAUGAAGUUGGUUAUAAUUUUUUUUUUUUUUUUUUUUUGUGAUUGAAAGUAUAGUAUUUUAUUUUUGCUCAUUAAAAAAUCUUGACAUAUAUAAUUUAACAAAAUAAUACAUUUCCUACAUGAGAUAGUUGAAUUCAUCUCCGAAUAAAAAAAGUUAAAAUUUCAUACAUAAUUUAUUGUUGACAUUUGAUCAAAUUUUUCAUCAUCUAAAUACCACUACCUUCGUAAGCAAUAAGGAGAAAUACGCUAAAGAAGCUAUGUGUGUAUCCUAACAUAUUUCUAAGGAGAAAAAAAACCAAGCCGCUUAUUUUUAAUCAUACAAAAAAAAUUGGCCUUUUUAUAAAAAAAAUUACUAAUUUUAUAUUUUUGCAUAUUCCAACCAAUUAUUUUAAAAAUAAAUCAAAAUAUUCCUAUGUCUUAAAUACCUAAUAUAUCAUUUCUUUGCUCUUUCCGGAUCUAUGUCUCCACCGUUGGUAGUAUUCACGAGCGCUCAUCUUAUUUUUGCCAUCUCCACACCAAUUAUAUUGUCGCGUUCACCUCAUGGUGCUCCUUACAAGAAAAAGGAAGAUGGUGAAACUUGAUCCGCUAGUCGUCGUGGCCACUCAUAGCCUCACUUGAGAUGGAGAAAAUGCAGCAAACAAGGAGGGUGAUGCUGAUCAAGAAUACUUCCAAAGCUUGUUAAUGAAGCUAAGUGUAGCCGACAUUGGGAAGAUGGUGGCGAUAGUGUGAGAGGAGAAUCUAAGGUACAACAUAAUGUUACACUAUUUGAAUAUAUAUUACACUAUUUAGUAAAAAAAAUUACACAAUUUUAUAUUUUAUUUUAUGUAUUAAAUAAUAUAACUUUGUUACUAAAUAAUUCUUCAUGUGUUCAGAGUUCAGAUAGUGCAACAUUGCGUCGUUUCUCAUAUUUUUCUUCUCUUGUUGCCGCCGCUAGUUUGUCAUCGUCGAUCACGCUCAUAAAGCCCUCGAGAAUCUAUUUCAGAAGCAUUCUUAACCAAUGAUCAUCGCCUUUUACCUCUGCCGCCUUCGUCUCCAUCUCCAAAACGUCAGUCUCGUCUCUACCGCCGCAAUCUGGCUGGCGAUUGCCAAAAACGGCAACAGCCACGAGCUAAGUUCGUCAUCGUUCUCUCACUCGAGGGUGAGGUAACAGAAAAGUGCAGUGAUGAUGCAGAGACAAUGGGAGAAAAAAAGAGCUAAAAGAUAAAAAAAAAAUAUGUGUAUUUUGAUUGGUUUGAAAAAAAUCGAUCAAAUAUAUAAAAAUAAAAAGAAUAGUUUAUUUUUAUAAAAUCGCAAAACUACUGAUUUUUUUCUUUUUUUUUUUAGCACAAGGGCUAGAAAAAUUUUCAUGGGGUUGUCGAUAUUCAGGAGAAGAAUAAAAGGGGAAAAAAAAGUGACUAAGUCAAUUUAAAAAUAACGCAUAGUUGAAGGGUAUACUUACAUAUUUACCUACGUUUUGGCCGUUUGGGGAAGUUAUAAUAAUAAUAAUAAUAAUAAUAAUAAAACAUUAAAAAAAAAAAAAAAAAACACUACGCCUGAGGGGGACUUUGAGUUUGAAGUAGGCACGGUGACAACGCGGAUACAGCGAGUAGGGGGCCACGCCACAGCGCCACGUGGCGAUAAUCCAACGGAUACACGACAACACGGUCUCGCUCUCUACAUCCCCCUCUCUCUCCAUCACAUCCGAACUGGAGCCCACGGUGCACCGCACCCUCGUCGUGUUCCUCGUUGUCCGCGGUCCGUCCGAUCUCGAUCGGAGGGCGGGGGUGUCUCCUCGUAGUCAAACCUGUUGCCUCGCUUGGGAGGGCCCCGCACUGGGACGUCCGAUCGCGUCUUGAGUGGACGGCUACGAUUGAGACGGGGCGUGGAUAACACUUCGUACCUGGAACCCGCACGCGAAAGUUUAUGCGGACGCGCUCGGCGGUUUUUGAUCGAGUAAAUGGGCGGUUGGGAUUUUACGGACCGCUAUAAAUAGGCAUGUGAGAAAUAAAAUUUAUUGUAUAGCACUUUCUCUUUCACCAUAUUAUUUAUAAUUAAUUUAUUAUAUUUUUUUAAAAUAAUAAUAAUAAUAUUUUUUAUAAAAUUAUGAUGAAUGAAUAAAUUUUAGAAAAUUAAUUUAAUUAAUUAGAAACUUAUAUUAAUAACGUCACUACGGUAUUCUUAAAAAUUUCGCGACUUUGAGGAGGAUUUUUUAAAGAUUUUUCUUAUGCGGUUGUCCGUACGAAGCAGGGCAUGGGUUUGCGGUCUCUUUGACUUGGUGGUUGGUACAAUAGUGUUUAUUAGUGAUGCAAACGGAACGGAUCCGUGGCCGACGGGUUUUCUCACCUUUCGUGUUAUAUUUUUUUGUUGGAAUAUUUUUUAUUUUAUUUUUGAUUUUUACUUACUGUUCAAUUCGAAACUUUUAAGCAUCCGUUUAGUUCGGGGUUAAGAGGUUAUUCCACCUCUUAACCCCGAAGUUAUUUUCAAAUAUCUAAUUUGGGAGGUGGGGUUAGCUAAUCCUAUUCCAAAUGGACUAUCCCGAUAACCCCACCCUACCCUACCACUCCAAUCAAAUAAAAUACUAUUUUACCCACUAUUCUUCUUAUUCCACCUACUCCAACUAAAUACUAUUUUACCUAUAUCUGAAAUAAACCAAAUUCUCAACCAAACACAAAAUUACUCUAACCCCACCUUAAUCCUGAACUUAACUCUAUCCUUGGAAUCAUAAGUUUUUACUUAACCCCGAACUAAAUGGUGGCUUACUUAUUGUCUCAUUCGAGACGGAUCAGGACGAGAGUAAAUUUUUGGCGAAUUUUUGACGGAUCUUAGCGAAAUUGAAGAAAGAAAAGAGUCUUCCGCCUCCCAUUCCAUUUACUUAACGAAUCGGAGCGAAUUUGGGGCGGGUUAUAAUUUUCUAUAUUUGUUGUUCUCACUUACCACCUAUUUGGAACAAGUCGGGGCAGCAGCUCUACCAAUCCAAAUCCAUUUGCAUCCCUACUGUUCAAUCGCUACAGUCAAAUCUCUCGGCAUGUGGAUUUUAGGGCCUAUCCGUUUAAAAUUAAAAACAGUUUUUAGUUAAAUAAUAAAUUAGAUGCAAAUUAUUUCUUUCAUUGUUGUUUAUUUGGUAGAGAAUUAAUAAUUUUUCCCGUAAUUUUUUUUUCCAUUUUUGUGUUUGUGUUAUGAAAACAUUUUACACCACCACAUAAAAUAUAAAAUAACUAAAUUUUUUAAUUUGUUUUCAUAUUAACAUUGUCACAACUCAAAACAAAGUCAACUAGGAUAUUUUUUAAAAAGGAGAGGUUACAUGUGAAUUUAGUUUAUGGCGAAUUAAAUACCGAAAGUGAAUAUUUACAACGAAAAAUCACUUUCCCUUUUUAUAUGUUUAGUGAAACAAAUAUGCUGGCGUAAGUAUGAAACGGUUAUUUAAAACUAAUAAGUUAGUUAGCUAAUUAACAAUAAAAAUAAGAGUAAUUACAACUUCCAAAUAAAAUAUUUUUCUAAUUAAUAAACUUCAAAGUACUGAUAAAAUAAUAAGUUAAUUAGUUAGCUAAUUAACUAUAAAAAGUUAAUAUGUUAGUUACUAAAUAAAUAAUCUAGUUAGGUAGAUAAUUAGUUAACAGAUUAAUUAAAUUCGUCAAAAUAUUAUAAUUUAAUAAAUAUUAAUAUUAAUUAAUGGAUAAGCGCAUAAAAUAAUUAAUUAUUUAAUUAUUUAGUUAAUUAUGAACAAAAAAAAUUAAUGGCUUAAGCAGUUAGGUAAAAAUUUAUCAUUUUCCAGACGGGUGCUGUGAAGGCAAAGUAGGACAAAAAUUGUGCGGGAAGGGUUUUCCAAAUUAUCCAUUUGAGGGCAAGAUUUUUUUUGCGGCCUAGUCUGUGGAUCUCACGUCGCGUGGCAAUUUGGUAAGAUAGUUGAAAUUUACUUUUCUUCAACUAUUAGCGGAUUCAAAAUAUUUUUAGACCCAAAAAUAAUAAAAAUUAUAACAAAAAUAAAAAUUAAGUAUUAACUAAAUACUGUUUAGUGGAUUCGAAUUCGAGCUAACCAUAGAGUAGACCUGGCUGGAUUCGAAUUCGAGCACUCAUUUCCGGAGCCCGGCCCGUACUGUUUAGUGGGCUUCGGGCUGGACCGACGUGAGAUUCUAGAACCCAGGCCUAAAGUCCAAAAUAUGUCAGGCAUUUCUUACACCCAUGUUUUAAAGUAAAUCCUACAUUAAGUAUAAAUUUAUAUAAUAAAAAAUUUAAUUAAAGAGUAUAAUGCUAUAACAAUAGUAUAAUAUGCAUUUAUUUAUGUAGAUAUUUGUAUGUUUGUGUAAUCGUGUGUGCGGCCCCCUCUCGCACACAUAAAUAGAUAUAUUCAUGCGCAGAAUAAUAAUAACUAAAAAAAGGUGGAAUUGGGCUCAAAUGGUAUAUUAUUCAUGAGGGAUUCUAACCAUUUAUAUCAUACAAGUAUAAGACAUGCAUAGUAAGUAUCAAUCAAUCAACCCAAAAAGAAAAAAGAAUAAAUAAUAAAUAUGGUACAUAAUUAAGGAGAAUAUGGAAAGUAAAUGAGAGCACAUAUGGUAGUAACCACAGGUUCAGAGGUAGUCGGCAUCACAAAAUGCCCAAAUAAUAGGAGCUGAUGAAUUGUGAAGAAGUAGACCAUGAUAUAAUGUGUUUCGAAUAUAUUGCAGAAUUCGUAGGACCGCAACAUAAUGAGUUGUUUGGGAAACUAACAUAAACUGACUAACAAUUUGAAUAGCAUAACUGAUAUUGGGCAUAAUAAUUGUAAGAUAAUUGAGACUACCAACCAAUUGUCGAUAGAGAGUUGGAUCGGAAAGAAAUGUGCCACCAGUAGGCUGAAGUUUGACAUGAAGUUGGAGUGGAGUGUCGGUUGUUUGCUGUCAGUUAAUCCAGCACGAAAAAGUAGUUCAGAAGCAUAUUUUACUUUGGAAAGAAAUAGACCUUUAGUUUGAUAAUCUAUUUCAAUUAUAAGAAAAUAGUGAACUUGUCCAAGAUCUUUUAUUUCAAAAUGUUUAUUGAGCUGGUGUUUGAUAUCAAAAAUUCCCUUCAUACCAUCACCUGUAAUAACCAUAUCAUCAACAUAUAAAAAAAGACCGACUUUCUCUAACGCAAGUGGCAAAGGGUUUGGUGGUUGGUACCCGAGGUCCCAAGUUCGAAUCCUAGUUGAUUCAAAUUUCAAGCUAAAUUUAUUUCUAAAUGAAAUAAAUGAAGCCGGUAACAUGCUACCUAUCUCUAAAAAAAAAAAACAUAUAAAAAAAGAACAAACAUAGCAGAGUCAUGAUUGCUUUGAGAUUAAAAGCCCUGCUGGAGGAUGGUACAAUGAAACUUCUCAAACCAUGCUCUUGGAGCUUGUUUAAAACCAUACAAAUUAAGCUUUGCGAUGCUUACACAUAUAUUGUGGAGGAUGAGAUAAGCCCAGAGGAGUCAUAUAUAUAUACUUCAUCAGAAAGAUCACCAUUUAAAAAUGCAUUCUUGACAUCUAUCUAGUAAAGUUUCUAACUCUGAAUAGAUACCACAGCCAACAGACUAAGCACAGUAGUCAUUCGUGCGACAGGAGCAAAUGUUUCCUCGUAAUCGAUUCCAUAUUCUUGGGAAAAGCCUUUAGCAAUGAGUCGUGCCUUAUCUCAUUCUAUAGAACCAUCUAAUUUGGUUUUAAUUUUAUAGAUCCAUUUAUACCCAAUAGCAAAUUUUUCCAGUGACAAUUUAACAAGCUCCCAAGUAUUGGUCUUUUGAAGAGCAGUGAGUUCCUCAUUCAUGGCUUGUUGCCAUUUAAGAUCAGAGAAGGUUUCAUAGUACGAUUUGGGUUUAUAGUGGGAGAAAAUAGAGGAUAGGUAACAAUAAUAGUCAUUGAGAUAACUUGGUGGUUGUCUUUUGCGAGUUGGAUGAGAUCUUUCUGGUUGCAUAUUGUCUAGAUUGCUAGAUGGGCAAGAAGGGUUGAGACAAAGAUCAUGUUGACCAUUGGCGGUUGUUUGUAAGGGAAUAUCAGAUGAGGAACUCUGUUGAAAUAGGUCUAACAGUGGAGAAUUGGAUGAAAACUUUGAUGCUGAAAGUGUGAAGAAAUUUAUUCCCCAAAUGUGAGAUGACUAGAGAUACACAAUUUUUUAGCAAUAGGGUCAUAACACCUAUAGCCUUAAUUUUGUUGAAGUCCAUUACCAAGAAAGACACAUAUAGCAGUUUUCUUGGUUAGUUUGUUGCACUCUCUUUUAGGUAGAAGAACAAAACAUGUAGAACCAAAAAUACGAAGAUGUGAGUAAUCUGGACUAACAUUAUGAAAACGUUGAAAAAGGGUUUCAUCAUUUAUGAUAGGUGAAGGAAACGAUUGAUAAUAUAAACAGUAGUAAGUAUAGCUUCACUCCAAAUUUCUUAGGAACAGAAGCCGAAAGAAGUAGAGUGUGUGCAGUUUCAAUAAUGUGACAGUGUUUUCUUUUAGAAACUCCAUUUAGUUGAGGUGUCUCAACACAAGAUAAAUGAGAAAGAGUACCUUGAUAUAUAGGGUAUUAUUUGAAAGCAUGUGAUAUAUAUACUCCGCCAGAAUCAGAUCAAAAAUUUUUUAUAGCUUUUGAAAACUGGUUUUUUAUCAUAGUUGAAAAUUCUAUGUAAAUAUUUAAAAAGUCAGCUCAAUUAUGCACCAAAUAUAUCCAUGCAUAGUGGGUGUAAUCAUCUACAAAUAUAGCAUAAUAAUGUGCAGCUCCCAUUGAGGGCAUAGGAGCUGGUCCCUAAAUAUCAAAGUGAACGAAAUCAAAUGGAGCAAAAGUUACAGAUUCACUAAAGGAGCAUUUAGUUAGAUGUAAUUAUAAAUGCAAUGUAGUUAUAGAUGCAUGUAGUUGAAAAUAUAACAGUUACAACUAUAUACAUUCUGUUUGGUUGGAUGUAGUAGAAAGUGCUGCAAAUAUAAAUAAUUUAUUUGAUUGCACGCAGUUGAGAAAUAAUUUUUAAAAUUUUAUCAUUUUAUAUAAUAUGAUAGUGAGAUUGCAUCCAAUGCAAAAAAGAAAAUUUUUUUUGUUUAAAAAAUAAUUAAGUAGGUAAGUAUACUUUUUAUUUAAAGUUACUCUCUCCAAUUACUGUAGUUGGAGCUACGGUCAACUUGGGUGUAGUUCGAAUUGUUGCAAUUGAGCCUCCUCCUGCAAUUCCUACUACAGCAGUUAGAAUUAAAUACAUCAAACCAAACACUGAAUUUGCAUUUGCAUGCAGUUACAACUACAGUGCAGUUGCAACUACAUGCAACAAAACGGCCCCUAACAGUAAAAGCAAGUGCAUGUUGUUUGGCAAGUUUGCAAUCAGCACAACAAAAGUCUUUAUUGAAAGAUACAUAUCCUAAUAAUCCUUUAUUAACCAAAAACUUAAGGCAAGAAAAGGAAACAUGUAAGUCUUUGAUGCCAAAAUUUAGAUGUAGAAGAAAAAGGAAAGAGAAGAGGAAGUAGUAGAAGAGACAGCACAAUAAGUACCCUGGGGAGAGAGAUGAAGAUUAUCAACGACAGCCAACCAGCCAACUCUAUGCCCUGUCGCAACUUGCUUCCCCGUCUUGCAAUCUUGUACAAUUACAACCAGAUAAAUUAAAUAUUUUAGUAAAACCAAGUUCACAAAGUUGUCUAACUAAAAUUAAAUUCAUAGAAAGUUUAGGUACAAGAAGUGUAUUUGGUAAAGAUAGGUUUUCAGAUUGAAGAAGGCCAAUGUGAGUGGCAAUGACGAUAGAGCCAUCGGCUAUUCAAAUUAUAGGAGAUGAUACUGUAGUUGUAUGUUUAGUAAUGCAUGAAGGAUCAUAUGUAAUGUGGUUGGAGGCACCGGAAUUGAAAAACCAAGAAGUAGGAUAAAUACUUGAUGGAGUAGAAGAAGCUGACAAAGAUGAAUUUGUACCAAUAUAUACUAAGAGCUUGUUUAAUCAUUGCCUAUACAUCAUCUGCAGCGAGUAUAGUGGAUAUAGAAGAACAUGCAGAGUUGCAAGAUUGUGGCAACCAAUGAUCAGACAUUGUCGCAGCCUUUUGCUGAUAUAUGUACUUCUUCUUGUUCUACAUAUUGCGAGAAGUUGGUGCUGUACAAAAUUUAACAGUAUGUCCAAACUGCUUGCAGUAGUUGCAUUGCACUUGUGGCAAGUCACGCGGUGGACGUAAGUUUGGUGUAGCGAGGUUGGAUCGCACGUCACGAUGCGCAUCAGAAAAUGGCUUAUAACGAGGGGAGGCAGAAGUAGCAAGACCAGAGGAAUUGUAUGAAAAAUAAAAAUUAACAGUACCUUUGCUUGUUUCUUCAGCAAUUAACUUUGAAGGAGCCACAUCAACAGUAGGAAGCGGUGUGCGAUAAGGAAUAGAGGUACGUACGUACAGAUUCGUAAUCAUCUUGUAAAAGCCAGGAGAAAUUAGACAAGUCGAGUUUCUUCAAGUAUCAGCUGAUACUGAUAGUAAAGAUCAGUAUCAGCUGUCAACUUUGGCUCAGUUAAUGCUAAUUGGUCCCAAAUGAAGGACAUCUGAGAGUGAAAAUCUGAUACGGAUUGGCCCUUCUGUUGCUUCAUUAUACGAAUAUCCAUUUCAAGUUUGUAUUUGCAUGCAAAAUUGGUUUGAUUAUAUAGGGUCGAUAAAAAAUCCCAAACCUCUUUUGCAUUAUCAAAGUUUUUGAAUUGCAUACUAAUAGUAGGACUAACAGCAUUAGCAAUCCAUGUUAAUAUUUUAUUGUUAUUAGUUUCCUACUUUUCAAUAGCAUCAGAGAUGCAUUCAUCACAUUUGUAUUCUCCGUAAAGUACUUCCAAAGAACUUUUCCUUUCAGAAAACUUCUCAUAAGAAAAGCCCAGUGUGUAUAUAUAGUUGGUGCCCUCAAGUUUAACAAUAAUAGGUUGUGCUGACUCCAAAUUCAUUAUGUGGAGAUAAAAAAAGAGAGAGGUUACCAAAAAUAGUUGGGAGUUUUGGUUAUAAGAGAGAGGUGCAUUCAUUGCCUUAAUAUAAGAUUAUUUGCCUUAAUACAGAACGCAAACAAACUGUUUUGUGCCUAAAUAAUUUUAUUUUUAUCAACACUUAUAAUAAGAAACUAUACCACACUUUCAUUGAGAGGCUACGACGCAUGCAUUGUAUGCUCUGAGGUUACUUCAUAGGCAUUAUGGAUCAUGAACUUUAUUUCAGAAUUUAAAAUUAUUGACCUUUAUCUCUAAACCUUUUAAGGACAUGUUUAUUUUAAGUUAGAAAACGGAAUAGAAACUUGAAAGAACCAGAACAGGAGACAGAGUGAUAAAAUGCCUCUAUUUGUUUGGCUUGAAACAGUAAUUGGAAUGAGAAUAAUUCAUUUUCAUUAUAACUGUUUGGAUAAGUAAACAGUAAUGAUUUGAACAACAUAGAUUCACAAUGUCAACAAUAUAAAAUUUGAUUUUAAAUUUGUGUUGAAAUUUGAAUUCAAUAAUUCAAAUUCAUAUUCAAUUCCAAAUUUAAAAGUAAAAUUAAAUGUAGAAAACAAACUUAAAUUAAAUUUAACUUUUGACUAAAAAAAUUAAAUUUUAAUUAGAAUACAAAUUUACUAUCUAAAUUUGUUUUCAAAAUUUGAAUGCAAAUUUAGACUCAUAAUUUAAACUUAAAAUUUAAAUCAAAUUUGAAGAAAAUUCAAAUAACAUAAUUUAAAUAUAAUUCAAAUUCAAAUUCAAAUCAAAAUUCAAAAUUGGAACUACAAAUUAAAAAAUCAAACUUAUAUUAGAAUUCAAAUUUAAACUUAAGAAUUAGAACUCAAAUUUAAAUUUAUGUUUAUAAUUUUAAUUUUGAAUUUAUAAUAUAAUAUGAAUUUAGUUUAAAUUAAUCAGUAUUUGAAUGUAACAAAUUGGUAGUGAAAAAAAAGAAGAAGAAGAAAAAGAAGAAGAAAUGGGUUUUUUUUUUUUUUUUCCAAUCCCUUUUGGAAUCAAUGUAGACUCCAACCUUCAUGGUGGGAGGCAUUUUGAGAGAAUUGGAUUCUCCUCAAAUGAAAAUUGAAAUGUGAAUCUCUUGAAUCAAACAUCGACAAUAGGAGUUACAUUUUUUUAUUCUCAUUCUAACCGUAAGAUCUUUUAAAUCAAACACGCCCUAAAGGUUUAAGGCGAUAAUUUUUAUUGUUCUUCUCUCUGACAAUAAUACAAUUACGAAUAUUAAUUAAUAAGUAUUUUGAAAUAAAGCUGUGCCCGACUCUAGAAAGAAUUGAGAAUUGUAAGAUGUCACUUAAACACCUCAAUAUAAACUUAUAAUUUCAUACCUCAUAAUUUAGGCUUUACCAUCUCACUUUUUUUUUUUUUUUUUUGAGAGAGAGAUAGGUAGCAUGCUACCCGCUUUGUUUAUUUCAUUUAGAAAUAAACUUAGCUGGAAAUGUGAAUCAACUAUAAUUCGAACUUGGGUCUCGGAUACCAACCAUCAAGCCCUUUGCCACUUGCUCUAGGAACGGUCAGUAAUUAAGGCUUUACCAUUUGAUCUGUCAUUUAAACAACUUUGAGAUUUAUGCUAUUUCACUAUAACAGAAGUAGGUUAUAGGGACACAUGUUUGGGACACUUUUAAGUAAGUAUCUCAUUUAUACUAAAACUUAAAAAAACAUUUACUAAUGCCUAAAUAUAAAGCCCAAUCCAACCAAAAAUAAAAGAUUACUCUACUCAACCCACCACACCCAGUCUAUUUGGCCUAAUUACAAAUAGAAAAGAAAAAAAAAGAAAAAUCAAUUACCAUCUUUUCUUCUCUUUUUACUCAAUCUACUGAAAUUCUAGACGAAGAGUCUUUCCUGUCGUCCUCCUCUGCCACUGCAGCCAACGAAAUAGAGUUUCGACGGUUGCUAAAUGCUUAAAUAAGUGUUUGUAAAUUAGCAGCACUCUUUUAUGUUAUAGCGACACCUUUUAAUUGUCACUAUAUACCUAGCGACCCCACAUAUAGCAACACUUUUUAAAAGUGUCGGUAAUUUUAGCUAGCAGCACUUUUUUGACAUGUACCUAUAUUUAAAAGUGUCGCUAUAGAUCGUUUUUGUUGUAGUGAAUUGUAUAAGAAAUGACGAAUAAACUAGUCUCUUGGAGACUAUCCCUAACAAUUUUUUAAUCUAUUUUUAUCUUAAAAAAAUAUUCUAGAUAGAAAUAAUAUUCAAUCAAAAACUUUAUAUUCCACUGAAAUAUAAUAAUUUUUUUAAAAGUAUUAUACUUUGAUAAAAUUCUUUUUUAUAUUAUAUGGUAAAAAAAUUAAAUUUAAAUACAUUUCCUAGGCUUAGGUCCACACCUCUCUUUUUAGGGUUAAUUUUUUUUAUGCCCUUCCAAAAAUUUAUAAUUUCAUUAAAUUGAAUAGAGAGGUAUUAGUGAUAAAUUUGUAUGUUUAAAAGGGUAUAAAUGAUAGUUUGAAUUUUGGAGGAUAAUGAUGACAAUUUGAAGUUUUGGAGGGGUAAGUUGAAAAUUUCCCUUCUUUUUAAAGUUGUAGCGUAGAAAAACGGUGCUCUGGUCAAACGAAACUUUCCCAUCGACACAAUUUCAUUGUUUUCGACACGUCAUCCCCAACGUCACCACUCACUCUCUCUCUCUGAUCCUGUGUUCACCCUCCCCCUACGGAGCACCCUCGUACGCCGAUCAUCACCGUCCAUGUUUUAAUGAACGGCCACGAUUAGCAUCUCAUGGAAAACAACAUUUCUUGCACAAAAUACCUAUUAUCUUCGAUGAUUAUUAUUAUUAUUAUUAUACGCUAACCCCCACGUACGAUUAUUAUUUUGACUAUUGCAUAAAUUCUACUAUGGAGAUGUCAACAUUUGAGUCUACAUUAUUCGUGAGUUUACAAUUUAAUAUACUAAUUCCUUUCAAAGAAUAAUUUGUUAUGUUCUUAACGCUACUUAGAACUCCAUUUGAGACCGAAGAGCACCUCACGUACACUGCAAAUACUUUUUUAUUCAAUCUUAUUAAAUUUUUAUAUUAUAAAAUAUAUUUUAGAUGAUACUUUUUAGAUGAUGUUUUAUUCUAACAUCUUCAAUAUUUGUCAUGUGCUGACAUCAUGAAUAUGUGUUACCAACGAACAUAUUUUUGUGAAGUACGGAUAAAAAUUUUCCGAACACAAUAUUAAAACAUCGGUAUAUUUAUCCAAAUAUAGUUACUUAAUGAUUAGCUCUUUACUUGAUGCUUUUACAAGCAUCGGGACUAUUGCUACCAACAUAUUAAAGUGCCGUUAGUUAUUUUUUAAAGUAUCGUUAAAUAAAUAUUUUGUUGUAGUACAUGAAUUGAACAAAAAAAUUUAGAUUGAAACAUAUUUUAAAUUACCGACCGUCUUUGGAGCAAGUGACAAAUGGCUUGGUAGUUGGUACCCGAGGUCCCAAGUUCGAAUCCUAGUUGAUUCACAUUUCCAACUAAGUUUAUUUCUAAAUGAAAUAAACGAAACAGAUAGUGUGUUACCUAUCUUUCAAAAUAAUAUACAUAUAUUUUAAAAUUUGAACACGCUGUUUUGACGAGAAAUAUUUCGGAAGUUAUUUAACAUAGCGACAUUGUACAAGGUCACCAAAAUAUAUAUAUAUAUAUAUAUAUAUAUAUAUAUAUAUAUAUAUAUAUAUAUAUAUAUAUAUAUAUAUAUAUAUAUAUAUAUAUUGGAGACACCUGUUGGGCCAAUAAGGCGCGGACACAUGGUACCUCGGUAUAGCACAACAGUUACAUUUAAGAGUGGUAAUUUUUGUUGUGCACCGGGCGCAUCAAAAAAAGAGUACUGGCAUGAAUUAAGAGAGGUUACAGUAACCGUGAGCAGUUACAGGCGAUUUUGAUCGGCUGAAAGUGGCCCGAGAAAAUAGGAAUAGUGGCUGAUCAUGGAAGGCAAUAACUGAUCAACUGGGGUGAUCUAUAAAUAGGCCAAUAAUGACCUAAAAAAAGGUCUUUUCACUGUGAACAGAAGACCACCCUUAUUUUCUAUGUAAUUUCUUCGCAUUUUUUAGGAGUAGUUCUACUUGUAAUCUUUCAUUUUUCAGUAUUUACCAUUUUUUCUCUAGGAGUAGAAGUAGACUAGAUCAACCGCGUCUGUAUGCCCAUAGGCACACUCGAUCCCUGUAUUCUUUUCACCAAUUAGUUUCAAUAUAUUUAAAUGUUUUCGGCUAUUCAAGCCGACCAAUCACUGUAUUUUCUUCCAUUCGACUCUUCGGCCGACCUUAGUUUCUGUGCCGUCCGUACAUUCGGCUCAUCCAGCCGAAUCAAUUCUACAGUAGAGAUUUUGAACUCGGCUGAUUCGAUCUCUUGUCAGUCGAAUCGCUUGAUCCAGUCGAAAGACGCAAACUUCGAGGUCACAAUUCGAAGCCGUUUUGCUUCCUUGCAUUAUUUCCGAGGAGAAUUUUUGACCAGAUAAAAAAUAAGGACUUUUGGCUACCAACAAUACCAAAAGGGCCCCACAGGGCUUGAGGAAAGAUUAAAUAGGAAAAAAAAAAAGGUGAGCUUCGGUAAAAUAGUAAAAUGAUGGUCAUCGGGAUUGUAUUUGUGGAUAUGUGAGGGCCCACUUUUAUAAUACCAACUCCGCAAGAAAUCUCGCGUAAAUUUGUCGAAAAAAAAAACUCGCAUAUGGGCUGCUCCAAUUCGCGCGCUCGCGCACCACUCUACGUUUCCAAUUUCUCCUGCACCGUCGGAUCUCGAUCCAACGGCUUGCGAAUUGUUGGUUCCUCGCCAAGUCGCACUCAUGGACCCCACCGCACGACGUAUGCGAUUGCGAAUGCUCGCACUCUCCAUAACAAUUGUUAUAGAAAAAAAAAGAAAAUGGUAAACAUGUGUGGAGACCCCUCAACUAUCGUUCGUUUGAAAUUAGCCCUUUAACUUUUCCAUUUUUUUGGAUUGAGAUUUUCUUUACUUUUAUUUUUUUAAAAGAAAAUUUUGGUUACUUUUAGUUGAAAAUUUUGUUAAAAUUUAUAGUUCUAUUAGUCAUUGAUUACUAAUUAUUUUAGUUUUAUUUACUAAAAAUAGUUGUAAUGAUUAAAUUUAUUAAAUUAAAAAAGUUUAUAAGUAUGGAGAUCUCGAUAAAAGAUUUAAAGUUGGGAGGGUCGUUUUCAAAAUGAUCAACAGUGGAGAGAUUUUUGAUACAUUUUUUUCUAAUAGUAUCAGAACAAUGGCUAUGGACCUAUGGUACACUCCACAAAAAAAAAAAAAAAAAAAAAAAAAAAAAAAAAAAAAAAAUAUAUAUAAUAUAUAUAUAUAAUAUAUAUAUAUAAUAUAUAUAUAUAUAUAUAUAUAUAUAUAUCUUUUAUUAAAUCUAUUUUAAAUUAUAAAUCUAGUAUUUACUGGAACUCCUCUUGUGUCCCCCCUACGACCAGCCAUCUCUCUCGUAAUAUUUUCCACUCUGUUUGUUUUUUUAAAAAAAAAUAUUUUUUUUAAAAGAGAAUAAUAAUAAUAAAAAUAGGACAGAAGAAAUAAAUAACCAAAUAAUCAAUCUGCUUUCUUUGAAACUUCUCCCCCAAUAUUGCUCCCAAUUCUCGGCUCCUAUAUAAUCCCCAAUCCUUCUCACUGCCCCCAAACACGAUCCCUUCUUCUCGCUUCCGUCUGUCUCCUUCUUCGACAUGGCCGCCUGCGUCGAGAACUGUCGGACCAAGUCGACCUUCCUCUGCUGGACGACCGCCGCCGCCGCCGCCGCCGCCGGCGACUCCUCCUGCAAAUUCUCCGUCUGCUCUCCGCGAAGGAGCUGUACAACUCCCAUCGAUCAAUACAGCGACGGUGCUGCUGCCGGCGACGACGACGAAGUGUGGGCUGAGCUGCGGGACGAAGCGCGGUCGGACGUGGAGGACGAGCCGAUCUUGCGGCAGUACUACUCCGACCUCAUCCUCUCCCACCGCUGCCUGGAGUCGGCGCUGGCCGCGCACCUGGCGGGCAAGCUGUGCGUGCCGGGCGUGGUGGCCAGCGGCACGCUGUACGACCUGCUGUUCUCCGCGCUCGCCGGCCGACCUGCGGGCGGCGCGCGACCGCGACCCGGCGUGCGCGAAGAUGGUGCACUGCUUCCUGUACUACAAGGGGUUCCUGGCGCUGCAGGCGCACCGGGCGGCGCACCGGCUGUGGGGGGAGGGGCGGAGGGCGGCGGCGCUGCUGCUGCAGGGGCGCGCGUCGGAGGCGUUCGCGGUGGACAUCCACCCCGGGGCGGCGGUCGGGGAAGGGGUGCUGCUCGACCACGCCACCGGGGUGGUGAUCGGGGAGACGGCGGUGGUGGGGAGCGACGUGUCGAUACUGCAUGGGGUCACGCUCGGGGGCACCGGGAAAGAGAGCGGCGACCGGCACCCGAAGAUCGGGGACGGGGUGCUGAUCGGCGCGGGUACGCACAUCCUGGGCAAUAUAAGGAUCGGGGACGGGGCGAAGAUCGGGGCCGGGUCGGUGGUGCUGAAGGAGGUGCCGGCGCGGACGACGGCGGUGGGGAACCCGGCCAGGCUGGUCGGAGGGAAGGAGAGCCCGGUCCUGUCGGAGGGGUUGGCGGGCUUGACCAUGGACCAAACCUCAUGGUCUCGUGAUUUGUUGUAAACUGAUCAAUUAAAAAUGUAUCUGUUCUAUCAGUUAUACAUCUAUACGUUCCUUCCCAAUGCGGAGUGUGGGCAAGUAGGCCUAAGAGGUUUGGGAGUUCAGUGAGUCAUUGAGCUCCUCUGUUCCACUUUCACAAUAAAACGUGUAAUAUUGGUGUACCAAGAACCAGAUUAAUAGAAUUUAAGCAUUCAGUAGUUAACCAGAAUUGAUAGUAUUAAAUGAGGGAUUCAAAGCACUUAUUCAAUGUUUAGAAGUCAAAGAAAGAAACUUUUUUAAAAAAGAACUUUUCUUUUUAUCUCUUUUUCCUCAUCCUUGCACUUAACUGCUGGUGUACAGUGUUGCGACUUUGGUCACAAUCUUAACCUCAAUCUAUGAGUUUACUAAAAGUAGAUCAUGUCAAAUUUAAUUGAUCAAGACGGUUAGGGUUGGGCUGAAAAUGAAUUGGAUUAUUUAGAUCCUUCACUAGAAGUCACAUUAACACUGAACCAUAAAGUAAUGCACUAACUGUCAGCUCUAAUGAUCCAACCAAUCCAAAAUUAGAUUUAUUGGACUGAGAUUUUUCAACCUUAAUAUAGUAUAUAUACUAGUAUAUAUGCAAGUACUCAGUUGAAUAAUGCAGCCCUACCUGUUGACUUCAGUAUCCACUUCUAGACUACAAGCUCAAGCAUGUAGCCAGCAGGCUUGACUAUAUUUAACAAUCCUUAGCUUAAUCCAGUGGUUGUUAUUGUUGGCUUAAAUGGGUCAGCAUCCUGCUUUGUGCCGGAAGGUCAUGUGGGCCGAGUCAUGUUCGAAAUGACGUGAGGCUGGGUUGGGCCGAGUCAUGUUCGAAGUGGCGUGAGGCCGGAUGGGCCGAGUCACAAUCAAGACUCGUGGAUUCUGUAUCUGUACGCUUUAAGUAAAUUGAUUGCGUAUUUCUAACAGCUCGAGCUUUUGGGAUUAAUGAUUAGCGCCAACGAUUCGACAAGUGGUAUCAGAGCCAGUGGUCACGGGUUCGAUUCCCACAUGCUGCAAAUGUGUGCAGGUGCUGGAGAGGGGAUUGUUGGCGUAAAUUGCCUUGUGGCGAGAGGCCAUGUAGGCCGAGUCAUGUUCGAAGUGGUGUGAGGCCGGGUGGGUCGAGUCAUAAUCGAGAUCCGCGGGUGCUGUAUAAAGCAAAUUCUCCAUAGCUCUAUUUACAAAAUUGAGAAAUGAUUUGGUACUUUAUUUUUAAAAAAAUAAAAAAGAUUUUAAACGUUGAUUAAUAGAGGGUAAAGAUGUAAUUUUAAUAUUUAGCAGGUAAAAGGGUUCCUUCAUUCGAGAUUAGUUUGGUAAUUAAACUAUGCAACAUUUAAAAAAACUUUUAAUUGAUAUCCUAAAUUUACGCAUUAAUUUGCAAUAGUUUGGAUUAUAGAUUGAUUACCUAGUAUCGUUUGGUUCGGGGAUAAGCAAAAAGUGGCUAUUCCAGGAAUAGGUAUAAAUUGAGAUAUAAGCGGGGAUUAGAUCAAUUUUGCGUUUGGAUGAAAAUUGGGUUAUUUCUGGGAAUAAAAAAAAUAGCGUUUGGUUAGGUAAGAUUGAAUAAGAAGGAUAGUAGAUUUUAUAAAUAAAAAGUAAUGAUAUUAUCCUUUUAUUAUAUUUGAAUUUGAAUUUUUAAAAUUUUAAAUUUAUAUUUUUAAAUUUAAAAUUUUAACUUUAAAAUUUUAAAAUUUGAAAUUUAAAAUCUCAAAUUUUAAAUUCAAAAUUUUAAAUUUUAAAUUUCAAACUUUAAAUUUAAGAUCAAAUUUAAAUUUUAAAAAAUAAAUAAUCAAAUUUUAAAUUUAAAAAAUUUAAAAUAUCAAAUUUUAAAUUUCAAAAAUUUAAAAUAUCAAAAUUUAAAUUUAAAAUUUAAAAUUAUAAACUUUAAUUUUGAGAUUAUAAAUUAUAAAUUUUAAAAAUUUAAAUUUUUAAUUUUUAAAAUUUAAAUUUUUAAUUUUAAAAUUUUAAAGAAUAAGAGUGGGAACAAUUAUAAAAUAAUUUAUUAUAAUAAUAUAUAAAUUUUUUGAAAAUUCUACUUAAAACUUAAAUUUAAUAAAAAGAAUUUAUUAUAAUAUUUAAAUAUAUUUAUUAUAAUUUAUUAGAAUAUUUAAAUAAUAAAUAAUAUGUAUUAAUAUAGUACAAUUAAUAAUUUUAAUAAUAAAAAUAAUGUAUUUAAUAUAUACAUAUUAAAUUUAUAUAAUUUAGUUUUAGUUCAAUUUAAAUUUUAAUUAAGUUUGAAAUUAAGUAUUGGAAUAGCACUAUUCCACCAAAAUGGUAGAAUAGUAAAUUCAUUGCUAUUCCAGGAUAACUGAGAAUAGCAAAGUUUGACCGGGAUAAAAUAUCCCCGCCAAAUUUCAUCCCGUUUGGCAGAAUAGCGGGGAUAACUUUCGUUAUCCCCGCUUAUCCCCCGAACCAAACGGGUUAGUGUUUCUAUAGGCAUUAAUUUAAAUUAUAGGAAUUUUAGAAAUAAUUCUAUUUCUAAAUACGUUGAAUUUAAAUAUUAAAUAUUUAAAAAUUAAAAUAUUAAAAUUUAAGUUAGAGGAAUUUUGUAUUACUAUUGAAAAUUUUUUUAAUAUUGUUAAAUAUUUUAAUUCAACAUAUUUAAUAUAUUUAAGAAACUUUUAAAUUCCUAUAGUUUAGACAUUAAUUUUGUAUCACUUACUUAAAAAAAUUGAAUAUAGGUAAAAAAAUUGUAAAUUAAAUGUGUUUAAUAUGUUAAAAAAAAAUUCGAAUUGUUCUACUCUAGACAUUAAUUUUGUAUCACUAUUUAAAAAAAUUUGUAAUAUUGGUAAAUAUUUAAAUUUAACAUAUUUAAUAUGUUUAACAAAAUUAUGAAUUCAUCUUAGACAUUAAUUUUACAUUACUAAUUUUAAAAUUGAAUGUGGGCAAAUAUUAAAUUCAACAUAUUUAAUAUGUUGAAUUUAGUGCCAUGUGGUUUCUUUUUUAUUUUUUUAUUAUCAAUUCUAUUAAUUUUUUUCGUGAAAUUAGUAACAAAGUUAAAACUAAAGGGUACUAAAGUGAAUAUUCGAUAAACUUAGGUGGACUAAUCUGAAGUUCUUUGUAUAUAAUUUAAUAAAAUAUUAACGAAAAAACUGACCAAAAGAUAAAAAUAAAAUCAUAGGACACUAACUUGAUAAACUUUAAACCACAGGGUACUAAAGUAAGAAAAUAUAAAAUCAUAGGGUAGUAUUUGAAGUUUACCUUUGUUAUUUUUGGCAUAUGCCUCUAUUUGAGGAGAUAGUCGAGUCCACCUACUAUACUAUCAAUAACACUAAGCGUCUGGUGCUAUCGAGUUUUUUGCCGUUAGAUUAUCUCUUUGACUAUUUUUAUCCGUUAGAUCAUACUAUUCAACCAACCAACCACCCACUCAAAUCUAGAGAACUACUAUCAUCCUAACUGCACAUUCCCUAAUUCAAGAGCCGAAAACCUACCAGCAUCAAUGACUUAGUACUAUUAAUAAUAUUCUAGUCUAGUUCGAGAAAGUCUACUAUACAUAUUUAUAUUUCAUUAUCAACAAUCGGUCAAUCACAUUAUUUUUUUUAGAAAAAAAGUAUAAUAAAAAUAUUUUUUUAAUAAUCAUAAUGUAACAGCUGAAUUCAAAAAAAAAUAUUUAAUUUGUUGGAGAUGCUAACUCAGCAAUAUAACUAGCCAGUGUUUGGAUUGGGGAUAAGGGGAGGGAUAACCUCUUAUCCCCCUUUAUACCCAAAUGCAAAUUUUUUACCCGAAAAUAGUAGUUCUCGGUUAUCUAAAAUAAUCUGGUAUAACUAUCUACAUCAACACCUCUAUUUUCUAUACAUAACUAUUUAUUAUUUUUCUUAUUCCAUAUUAUCUAUCCAAAGUCCAAACGUCAUUUUUUUUAUUUUCGGGAACAACCAAUUUUCAUCCAAACGCUAUUUUUUUUAUCCUCAUACUUGUACUUAUUUCUGUAAUAACUAGUUCUUUCUUAUACCUAAACCAGACGCUUGUACGCUACCCUAGUGUAUGCUAAAUUUUUUUUCCAUUUAAAGGUGAAGGCCCACCGAAGCCAUGAGGAUCCAACACAUAACCCACAUUAAAUGGAAUUAAGAGUUGGAUCCGGAUUUGUCGUAAGCAUCCGGAUCCGAGAUCGCCAUUUAUCCAAACGGACCAAACCCUAGUGUUUCGCCUUGGGACACAUCACACGUUGGCUCCUCCUGUUGGUUCGAACCUUUUGUAAUUUUCCUUCUUUGUAUUUUCCUUUUCACUCCCUCCUCUCGAGCACGCUUCAUACGCUUUGCUCGCGCGUAUACUCGUUCUCGUUCUUAGAUUCUCGAAGAAGAGGUAAUGCAUUUUCCCCAAAUCCUUCUUUUUGAUCCUUCUAACCGUUAAAAAAAAGAAAUACUUUGUCGCAAGAUUAUUCGAUUAGUCCCAAAGAUGGGGUUUUUGCUUUAUUAUUAUUAUUUUUUGCAUAUGCACGCUUAUUGUUUGAUGAAAUGCCUCUGAAGAUUCGUUUGUGUUCAUCUACUUGUUUUAGCUCUGCAUAUAAUGGUGGGGCUCUCGGAGGGGGAGAAGCAUUUCAUUCGCGGCGGGAUCGCGCAAGACCUUCGAUCGGACGGCCGUAAGAGGCUUCAGUUCCGGUCUAUCUCCGUCGAGACCGGAGUCAUCCCGCAGGUUGCAUCUUAUAUUCCAUCAAAAAAUUUGCUUAUUGGGUUAAAGUAUGAGAAUUUAUUUCAUUCUCUAUGUAUUCUUUGUGCUUGAAUUUCUGGGGCUUCAUGAUAGGCAAAUGGUUCGGCUCGUGUUAGGUUGGGUGCGACGGACGUCAUAGCUAGCAUUAAGGUACGAAUAUUUUGCUCUAAUAUUUGUUUAAGGCAUGUAUGUAUUCAGCAAGUAUUUAAGCGCCCAUCGACACUGAUUGUGUCUAUUGGUCAUAAUAUGCCGACAAAAUAUCGGUACGAUACCAUGGCACGGUUCAAAAUCAUUCUUUUUUUUUUUUUUUGAAAUUAGCAAGUAGUUACAUCAAUAAAAUGCAAAAAGAUAUGAUAAAGAUAUAUAAUAAUCAAUUAGAAUAUAUUGAUGCAAAAAAAAAAAAAAUUCAUAUCAUUGCGUGUCAGCAUAUAGGUAUUUUUGUGAAUGACACAUAUUAGCAUGGCAUGUCAUGCACCAUGCUAUGCUGUGCCACGACACUUAAAUCCUUGGUAUUUAGCUGAUAGAGAGUGCAUCAUUUUUGCUUUGGUGGUAUUGGAUUAGUGUUGCAUCUUGGCGACAAUUUGAAUAGUGGUUUUAUGAUUAGUCAAGUGCGGUUGCUGACUAUAUGUUCGUAAAAUUUGCAUACCUGUAAUGUCGACGUGGACGAGUAGGUUACACUGUAAACGGCAUAAGGAGAAUCAACUUUAUUUGUGAUGACUGUUGACAGUGUUGAUUAAGUUGAACAUAGGAAACAGUCUUAGAUGGUUUGAUUGCAUAAAAGAGAGCUUUGUAAUGGACUAAUAAGGAGGAAUAAUCAAAUUAACAGUUGAUGUUGCUACUAGGAGGGGAAGAUCAAAUAAGGUUUGGCCUGUUUGAAUAUAUAUAAGUCGUGAGAAAAGAUGCAACAGCUUUUAGACUUUUGGACAUAACCCUGAAAAUCAAGCUGAUUACUUGAACAUAGUCCGUGCAGGGAAAUCCACAUAUCAGGACUUGCAAAGCAAAAAACCUUAAUGCAAUGUAGGUUACAUAUUUGUGUCCUUUUUAUGUUAAUCUUUAAAAAUCAUUCACUGUAUCGUGCUAACUUUGUGUUUUACAGGCUGAACUUGGGAAGCCAAGCAUUCUCCGACCUGACAAAGGAAAAGUGUCUAUAUUUGUUGAUUGCAGCCCUACAGCAGCUCCUAUGUUUGAGGUUGGCCGACUGGGCUGCACAGUGUGUUCUUUUGCUUUAAGUGUAGAUUGAAAUUUCAUGUAUGUUUGGUCAUGUGCUUCUUGCUUCUCUUGUUUGCCUCCUUUUUGCAUAUUUUAUAAGAAGGAAUGUAACAUUUUCUUGUAUAAGUUCGGUGGUUGCCUUUUAGUGUUAGUUGUUAAAUAUAAUAUUUGUUCCUGGUGUUACUCGGUUACACUAUCUUCCUUAUUAGUUCAAACUUUGUGCAUCUUCUUAGGGCCGAGGUGGUGAAGAGUUAUCAAAUGACCUCUCUGUUGCACUUCAGAGAUGCUUACUUGGUGGUACGAGCGGGGCAGGUAUUAAACUUCAGAACAUCGCUGAGGAAGUUUAUUAUAAAAAAUAUAGAAUAAGAAUGGAUGUACGAUUAUUAUUUGGUUCCUUUAAUGUCAUAUUAAUGAUAGCGCUGCCAUGCAUUAAAGGCCAAAUUAUUGAGGUUUGCAUCCCUGAUUGGUGCCUAAUGAAAAGCAUUCCAAAUGUAUUGUUUCCUCCGGCAAAAAAAUUUUAUCUUCUCUCUGGCAAUUAAUAUGCUUGUGAAAUUAUGAUUAUUGAAAUAUGAGGGCCUCUUUUACAUGCCACUGAUUUAUAUUUGAAUAAUGAAUAUAUUACCUGCUUUGCUGUUUCUAGAGUAUAAAUAUAUAUCGUCAGCGCAUGACAGAGUUACUGCUUUUAUUGCUUAUUCUUGCAAUGAUUUUGGUGUUACUGCUUUCAUCACUUAUUCUUGCAAUGAUUUUCAAUGGAAUUCUAACUUGCAUCCACGGUAACAUGCCUUCGAUGCUGUCAUAUCAUUUUAAUGUUACCAUUUUGCAUCACUUGCUCUACGAAGUGCAUGGUAUGGAAGAAAUGAAAUGCUUACUCAUUGCUCUCAUGUUCUAAGACAACAUUUAUCUAACUUGUGGUUUGUUAUUUGACUUAAUUGAUUCAUUAUGGUUUUGGUUGGAUCUGAAUUCCAGGGGCUGGAAUUGAUCUCUCCUCUCUGAUUAUCGUUGACGGUAAAGUUUGCUGGGAUCUUUAUAUUGAUGGACUUGUCAUCAGUUCAGAUGGUAAUUUACUGGAUGCGUUAGCUGCUGCUAUUAAGGUAAUAAUUUUUGGAUUGGAUUGUCGUUACUUAAUUCAGUUUCCACUGCAGCAUUCUGGAGUACUACCUUAAGUAAAAGAAGAAUCUAUUAAAUAAUUGAUCUGAGUUUUUAUGACCAAUUGUCCAGUUGAAACUAGGUCCUGAAUGAGAGUAUGGAGCUUGCCACUACCACAUCCUAUAAGUCUAUAUUAGGUUUUACACCUUCCUUUUAUUGAACUGUUUGGUGUUUUUCCUCUAUAGCCUAUUACCAUUGGCGUUAAUGUUAUUUUGUUUUUUAUUUUUUAUUUUUCAUUUGUUGCUUCGUAUUGAAAUUACGAGUUUGACAGUAAGCUCUAUGUUUUAUACUUUAGCUCUAUGUUUUAUACUUGUGGGAUAAGCCUAUUGUCGGGACUUGGAACAUUUUUCUGGCCAAAACUUAUUUUAGUAUUUUUAUUGUUUGUCCAGAUUACAUGGCUUUUUGUGCUUGAGACCCAAUUGCUAUACGAGCUUUAAUCCCUUGCAAUUCAUUUAGAGAAUCCCAAUAUGAAGGGAAAUCAGACCACAAGGAGAUCUUAAAACAUAAAAGGAGUAGAAAGAGGUUUUAAAAGAAGAGUUAAUGUCUUUUCUCACCAUGUUUAUUAUUUUUGUAUUGGGCUUUUGGGAAAUUGUAGAGUGUAGUUGUUAUUCAUUUGCCUCCAUAUAUAGUUAGAAUCUAGCUAGACAUUUCUUACUUGAAAAUUUGAAACUUGUGGAUUAAAAAGAAUUGACUGAGAGUAAUUAAAAUCAUUCUCAUGCUUUGGGAAGUAUUUUGCACCAUGCAAUAUCAACACAUGAUAAGAACUGAUGCAAUUUAGUUCUGUCAGAUCUGUUAAUAAAGCAAUUCUCUUUCUUUGCUAGGUUGCCUUAAGCAAUACUGGAAUACCAAAAGUUAGUGUUCUUGGUGCCUCAUCCGAUGAGCAACCAGAUGUUGAUGUCAGUGAUGAAGAGUUUCUACAGUUUGACACUUCUGGAGUUCCAGUUAUAGUAACUUUAACCAAAGUAAGUUGCUUUCAUUGAUCGCAAGUACUAUAAACUGUAGUUAUCGAACAUCUAUUAGACAUUGACCUGCUCAGUAAUCGAGUCACUGGGUCAUUGGUCAGAGCAGUGUGUCAACUGGUUGGACUGCUGGUUUAAUAACAUAUGAUAUAAGAUAUAAAAUAACCAGUCCAAAUUACAAGAAAAAUUAAAUUGUCUAAUGUAUUGUGUUCAAUAAAACUUUCGUGUGAUUGGGUGAGGGAGGAUGGCGAAUUGCUUGUUGCUCUAUGCAUUCGCAGCAUUUGUUUGGCAGUAAAAAGAAAAAAAAGGAAAAAGAAAAUUUGCUAGUUACUUUUUUUGGCAUCCUUUUCAUUUUAAGAUGUUGUCCUGUGUCUAGCUGCUGUAUGUUGCAAGCUAAGUAACAAUGAUACAAAACGAGAGGUGCACCCAAUCACACAAAAUUUGUGUUUAAUUAAAAAAAAAAGAAAAAGGAAAAUAAGCAACCAAACUAGGCCUUAUAGAAUAUAGCAAAUAAUCAUCAAAAAUAAAAAUAAUAUAAACCUAACUCUUAUCAUAUAUAAUGUGUGGGUUCAUUCAAAUAUUAUAGAACUACUUUGUAAGAACCUUCGAAAUUUGUAGUGAUUUCACUUUUAAGCACAUCUGAGGCUCUAGUACAAUGGUUGACUUCUUUAUCCUUCUCUUAUAUGUUGUGAAAUUGAAUCCCAUCAAUGGCAUAACAUGCAAUAUAUGUUUAUUUUCUCUCUGAAACUGUAAACACUUUCUAUAGGUUGUCAAAUUGAACCUUUAUAGAUACAUAUAGAUGAACUCUUUAUGACCUUCAUAAAAUAAACUGUCGGAUACUCUUCUUCAUGUGAUUCAAGGUGACAUUUUUCGUUUCUUGGCACCACCAAAUUAUUCACUUGAAGUAAGUGGCAUAUUUCUUCUUUUUACUAGGUUGGCAGGCACUAUAUAGUAGAUGCUACAUCAGAAGAGGAAUCUCAAAUGAGCUCUGCUAUUUCGGUCUCGGUGAAUAGGCGGGGGCAAAUAUGCGGGCUAACCAAACGUGGAGGCGCAGGAUUGGACCCAAGCGUCGUUCUUGACAUGAUAUCUGUAGCGAACAGCGUAAGCCAACAACUAAUAACCGUAUUAGAUUCAGAGAUCGCAGCCGCUGAAGCAUCCGAGGAAUGAGUGAGAUUUUAUCUGCUUUUACUAACAAGGAUGCGAAUACUUGUUGUAGACAUUAUUGUGAGAUCUAGUGAAUUGGAAGUGGUAAUGCAUUAAUGCUCUCCCAGAGAACAAUCCAAUGCCAAGUAUUUAGUUCUAUGGGAGAUGUGAUUAGCUUAGUGGGUCACUUGAUAAAUACUUUGCUUGCUUGCAAAUUGCAAUGGAUAACUUAACCUCAGAAGCAUCAUAAAUUCUUUUCUGAAGCUUUGUAUUGUUCUCAUUGCAUAUUCAAAGGAUUUUUGUUUUAACUACUAGAUCAGAUAGGUGAGAUCCAAAAGUCUUAAACCUUUCCCUCAAUAAACUCUUCUGAUCAAUGUGAUUAUUUCUUCGAUAAAGACAUAAAUGUGGGGCUGUGGAGUGUUUGGUUAAUUUUUGGCUCAGUAAAAAUGGGUAGAGUGCACCAAAACCCUGUAUAAUUUAGGUAAUUUUUUUGGUUAAAAAAUAAGUUCAAAAUAUUUUCUAAUCGUUCAAGAUAAAAUAAAGAUACAAAUAAAUAUAAGAAUUUAUAUCGAUGAGUAAGUAGAUACAAAAAAACAGAACGAAAAACCUAAUUUUCAUUUUUUUGGUCUUAGCGUAAGAUUAUAAAAAAUAUAAAAUUAAUUUAAAAUAGGGCUAAUUGCGUAUGUGUUCCUACAAAAAUGAUAAAAUUGCACAUAUUUCUCAGUGGCAGCGUAGUUGGCAAAUGUAUUUCUCUGUAUUAGUUGAUGGGUUAAAAUUGAUUUUUUUUCUGCAUAAUAAUCAUUCUGCUCUUAAAUAAACAUUUUUUAAUUAUAUUUAAAAUGGUCUAUUAAUUUUAAUAGUAGAUUUUAAUUUUUAUACUAUUCUACGUGAACUCUAAAUUAUAAAUUAUAGUCAACCUAUAAAAAUAUAUUCUAUGUAUUCUUUAAAAUAAGCAUACACAGGAAUAAAUCUGUGCAAAAUUAUUCUUAAAAAAAAUUAAUAGCUUUUCAAAAUAUUGUUUUCGAUCGCUCUCUUUCUCAUGCUUUAUUCAUCUUUCCGGUUUUCCUCUUUUCUCCGUACAAAAAAAAAAAAAAAAAAAAAAAAAAAGCGAACUCCCUGAUACCCAUCAAACGAUGAAACCUGCCUCGCUUCGCCGCUUCUCCUCCUCCGCCUCCUCCCCGACCCCGUCCUCUCCCUCCUCUUCUUCCGCUUCGCCUCCCUCCGAAACCCUAGCUCCCAAUCCCUCCUCACCCGCUCCAUCCUCCUCCACGCCCUCACCAAAUCCCGCCGCUUCCGCUCCGCCGAAUCCAUCCUGCGCACCUCCCUCCUCCCCGAUCGCCAGGUCUCCUCCUCGGCGCUCUUCGACGCCCUCCUCUUCUCCUACCGCCUCUGCGACUCCUCCCCCGCCGUGUUCGACGCCCUCUUCGCCGCCUACGCCCACGCCAACAAGUUCCGCGACGCCACCGACACCCUCCGCCGGAUGCGGGACUACGGCUUCCUCCCAAAGGUGCGAUCUUGCAACGCGUUCCUGAGCUCGCUUCUCCGCUUCGGCCGCGCUGACAUCGCCCUCUCCUUCUACCGGGAGAUGCGCCGGAGCCGGAUCUCCCCCAAUGUGUUUACUCUCAAUAUGGUCAUGUGCGCGUUCUGCGGGGCGGGGAAGUUGGAGAAGGCUUUGGAGGUGUUCGGAAAAAUGGAAUCUUUAGGGUUUAGUCCCACUGUCGCUUCUUUCAACACGUUGAUCUCCGCUCACUGUAAGAAUGGUCUCAUGAGUGGUGCUGUGAAGCUCAAGAAUUCGAUGGGCAGUAAGGGUUUAGAGCCGAAUGCGAUAACUUAUAAUACUCUGAUUAAUGGGUUCUGCAAGGAAGGAAAGAUGCACGAAGCCAAUAGGAUUUUUGCUGAGAUGAAAUCUGCGGGAUUGAGUCCAAACACGGUUACUUACAAUACUUUGAUCAGUGGUUAUAGUUCUAUUAACAGCAGUGAGAUGGCCUCGAGACUUUUUGCGGAGAUGGUGAAUAAUGGGGUGGAAGUUGAUAUCACAACAUAUAAUGCACUCAUUUUGGGGCUUUGCAAUGAAGGGAAGACGAAGAAGGCCGCUUACUUGGUGAAAGAGCUCGAUAAAGCUAAUCUUGGGCCCAAUGCGUCGACAUUUGCUGCUCUUAUUCGUGGGCAAUGCAAGAGGGAGAAUUCCGAGCGGGCACUUCAGAUUUACACAGCCAUGAAAAAGAGCGGGUUUCAUCUCAGUCGAGAUUUGUAUAUGUUGUUAAUAUCUACCUUUUGUAAGAAUAAGGAUUUUGAGGGAGCAGUGGAGGUACUGAAGGAGUUGUUGGAGAGAUGGAUGAGUCCAGAUGAAGCUUUAUUGAAAGAGCUUCUUGAGGGGCUUUCCGAAUCUGGGAAGAUCCACUUGGCGGAUAGAUUGAGGUCAGAAGUUGGGAAUGCGAGGCUCAUUCCAGAAGAUUACUUUACCAGUGUUCCUAAAAGCAAAGAAAUGGAGAUUACAUGCUAACAGAUAGAGGGAGAAGGUAUGAGGAAUGGAGAAAAUAAGUUUGCAUCCAUGGAUUACAAGGCCUGCGGGGGCUGACAAGAUUAUAAAUGUAUAAAGGUCAAUGCUUGAAGGUAUUGAUGAACAAGGCAGUUUAAUUUUUUUAUCUAGCGAACCGAGUUAAAAGAAGGCAUCAUUUCAUUCUGACUGCUGAAACUUCAUACAAUUGGCUCUAGCAGUACAAACUCCAAACUAUGAUAUUCUGAUUGCUUCAUAUCUUAUUGCUAAACAUACUAUGAGCUUUUAUAGUAAUAAAAGUUACUAGAGAGGAAAGCACAUAUACCUGCAUUUCAUUGGUUUUUCUGAUUUAAAUUGGUGGCCGGUUCUCUGUCAUAGCUGGUCUGGUUACUGUUCCCUUCUCUUUGAUAUGAAGUGGUUUACUGAUUUAUAAGUUAUAUGUUAUAGUCUGACUGCAAAACCUGUUAAAAAUAAUUUCCGUUACAUCUGACUGUUUGAACAGCUUCGAGGUUUGUUAUAUAAGUGUUAUUGAAGGGGACUUCCAAAGUUUUGGAUGGCUUCUUACAUAAUAAACUCAUUUAUUUGCCCUUAACAAUGUAGAGCAGCUAGGUUUGUUUCCUGCUGCCACAUGUACAUGCUACUGAUAGAAGUGUUUCAGAGGCUUCCUAAUUGCUAUAGCCUUUUUGCAUGCUCAAACUACUUUAGAAGACCUAAAAAGUUGCAUAUGGUUGUAUAUUAAGUCAGCAAACUUUGAAAUCUUUCCUUCGGCGAUUCCUAAGCUUGUGUUAGUGCAUUAAUGUUAAUUAUAUAGAUGACAAAACUGUGACAGUGGAUUCUCAAUGGAAGAAUUACUACCUAUGAGAUGGUUGCAUAGGGUAUGGAGUAGCUUAUCAAAAAUCAUUUCUGGCAGGUGGGUAUUCUAGAAUGAUGAAUUUUUAUUACAAUCUACACACUUUAAGAGUUAGCCUAGGAGGCAGGUAAGGUGAAACGGAAGAGGUCAAAGCGAUUGGCGGAGAUGACAGGUAUGUCUAUGAAAUCAGGCUCUUCUGUUUCUCUUACUGAUUCAAGGCCAUCUUUUUGCAUCUUGAUAUUGGUAUUAUUCCUUUUAUCUCAUUAUGCCUAUUUAUAGCUUGAUACUUCUGUAUUAACCAAUAGAUUGAAUGAAAUUUAUGUAAGUUGAUUUCCACCUAUUUUUGAGCAUUUUCAAAAAAUUGUUCUAAAAUGAUCUGGAUAAUCGGUAUUAUGACUUAUGAGCAAAAUAGUUAAUGAAGAUUUUUACAUCAUCCCUCAAGAUAUCUCUAAAUCUCUAAUUAGAUGGUUUUACUUUCGAACAAUUUAUUUUGUUAGUUUUGAGCAACGGAGAUGAAUAUUAUGCUACUUCAUUAAUUGUUUUGGAUUUUUUUUUUUUUGGGGGUGUGCUUUGUGCUUUCUGACAUAGAAUGGUGCUGCCGUUGAAGUACCGUGCAUAGAAAAUAGUAGAGUACUCUUGCUACGGGAAGCAUAAAUGCCUAAGGCAGAUUAUUUCGUGUUAAACAAUAAAGGAGAAUGUGAUGAAUGGUUGAAUCUUUGACAUGAUAGGUGGAAAAGUGACAUGAUAUGGGCAUCUUAAUAUUUGAACCAUUGUGUGUAGGUUGUUGCUCUUUAAGGCAAAUUAGGAAAUAUAACCUGUUGAACAAAGGUAAGUCAUUGACCAAGAUCAUGCAGUUAAUUAGAUAAACUUGCGCACCCACUUGUAAUUUGAGCUGCACAGGCCCAGAAUUCAAGGUGACCUCUCAUCUAAUCGCUUCCAAGACACUCUUUUGCUACCCUAUUUAUUUCAUUUCAAUGGAAUCUCGUGGCAGUACUUUUUAUUAUUCAAUUAUGUGGAGAAACUAAAUUCAUCUCGACUUGUUAUUUAGACAAUGUCUGGUACUAGAUGUUGAUCUUGCCUGAACUUUUAUAAUAAUUCUUUGGCGACCUAAUAUUUUUUACAAAUCACCUUUCUUAUCCAAACUUACGGGAAAGAGUUGUUCCUUGCUGCAGAGUUGAACAGAACUAGAAACCGUACGCCCUAAAGCAGUGGAAAGAGAAAAGUAACUCAUGCUGGGGAAGAAAUAACCAACAUUCUCAGAUUUCUUGUGCUCCUGACUGAAAAAAUGGAACUCUUUCUGGUAUAACUCAAUUAUCACCAAGUACAGCUAGAUGCAGCUGGAAAUAAUAUUACUUCAUGAAGAUUGUGGACACUAUCCAAAGCCUAUACAUAUGGAUCAUAAGGUGUGGCAACCAGGCACAGUUGAUGUUUCCUCCUCAAUGCCGCUCCAAAGGUCUCAUCCAUGCUUAUUAGUUCUUCAGGUCUAAUCCCAUCGCGAGCUUCCAAUUGAAAUGGUAAGUAUCUGAGCAAGCCCAAUUUCCACAUUUGCUAAUCCAAAUUCUUCUCCUGCCAUCGAAUGGCAGGUACUUCAUGCUUACCCCCCCAUAAUCCGCCAAACUCUGAUCGAACCUUGAAGACAUUGUUUGGUUGUGGAAGGAGGGGAAUAAGGGUCUUAUUCCUCUCCUUGUUUCCAAACACCAAAAAAAAAAAAAAAGAAAAAAAAAAAUCUACUUUCCCUCUUAAUGGGUUAUUCUAGCAUUGUUGUUCCACUCUUUUGGUGGAACAACAAUUCCUCCACUUACACCUCUACUAAUUUAAUAAUAAAAUAUAUUAAAUAAUGUACUAUAUGCUAAUUAAUUUACUAAUUAACUAGAUAAAUAAUCAACCACUUGAUUUAUUACUCUAAUAAAUAUUUAAUUAAGUAUAUGAGUAAUUAAUUUAUUAUUUAUAAUUAAUUAGAUAAUUAAAAAUAUAAUUAUUUCUUAUUGUGUUUAUGCAAUAACUAAUAUUUAUAUUGAUUAACUAAUUAAUAUUUUACUAAUCUAAUUAUUUUCUUAACUAAUUAUCUAACUAUUAAAUAAUUAACUAAUAGAUUUAUUAAUUUAUUAAAUUACUUGUGGUUAAUUAAUUUAUUAAUUAACAUUUUUGGUUUUCUGGUAGUAUUCAUGAUAACCUAAUUAAUAAAAUUAAACUAUUUUUUAAUUAAUAUUUUUACGUUAAUUAAUUAGCUAAAUUACUUAUUAUUUUAAAACUAUAAUUACUCUUAUCCUCACUGUUUCAAUCAAACUAUCUAAAUCUUUUUCUCAGGGGCAAUCUAAUUUUCAUCCAAACGCAAAAUUGAUCUCAUUCCUGCUUAUUCCAAGAGUUGUACCUAUAUCAGGAAUAAUCAAAAACAGCUUAUUUUCGAAUCAAAGGAUACUUAAAAGUUUCCUUCACCACCAUUUUCAGGUAGCUCAUCUUUGCUAUUUCGUUAUCUCCUGUCUCUGUUCGCCUUUCCAUUACACCUCUUAUCUCGGUUUGGACCUUCGCCAUUACCUUCGGAUGCUUGAUCAGCUAGGUCAUUGCCGACUCCAUCGUGCUCGAGGCGCUGUCAGUCCCAGCAGCAAACAUGUCCUGAAGAGUUAACAGAGGAGAUGCGAGGAGAUGGAGUAAAAAGAGAUGAUGGUAUUGCUAUGGUUUUGAGGUAAAUUACGCCGGAAUGCCUGAUCUAUAGGAUAAAUUUAAUUUAGUUUCUAAAAUAAAUUUAUCUUAAAUAAGGCUUGUUAUCAGCUUCCACAUAGGAGAAUGUAACAUUAUACCCAUUUGAAAUCAGGUUUCCUGUCAUUUUAAUGACUGUUUAAUUAGUGUCUUUUGCCACCUCUCAUAAUGGAAUUGGAUAGGAAUUGAAGUUUUAAGAGACCAAAUUGAUCGUUCGUAGACUUUGCCUUGAUUUAAAUUUUUAUUAUUUUGAAAAGAUUGUGUUUUUACAAAGGAGCGUAGCGAGACGCAUGGCAUCCAAUCUAGAUUCCUAAUAUCUGACUUUGGUCGGAGUGACGUGCGUCUCACUAAGACAUUCUGAAUUAUGUCAUCAGAUCUGCUCUGCACGGUGCCGUCCGAAGGCUGUGAGACCUGGGUGUCUCGGUGAGGGUGGUGGCGAGGGCUGUGAACGAGCCGCAUUCAAGCAUGCCGGUGUCAACUCAUGUUCGAACGCCCAUGUUCGACACGUUUAAUGAACGAGCCGAAUAAGAGGUGGCUCGUUAAGAUAUUGAAAAUUGGAAAAUUAGAAUUUCAAUCUAAUAACUAAAGUUCAUAAAACACAGGUUUAUUUUUAUUUGGAUUGGCCUAAAAUUCUAGUAAUAAAAUUUUUUAAUAUAUAUAUAUAUAUUAUAUUUGUUGAAAAUUUAAACGAGUAUGAAAGUGUGAAAAUAGAUAGCGGUGUAAAUUCUCACCUCCUUCGUAUUUAAUGCAGUUGAAGGAAUCUAGUUGCGUCAACGGCAGCUUCAAAUUUCAAUGGUCUUCAAACUUAAAAUACUGUAAUCCAACUCUGAAGUGGGGAGAGCAAAUGGGCUAAAGGCCUACGGGCCGAAUGGUGUAGACGAAUGCUGAAAUGUCAAUCAAGGCCGUGUGAAGUUCUGCAAAUGAUGUAGACGAAUGCACGAAUAUGUUGUUCGACAUUUCUCUUUUGAUUUACUCGUCGGCUUGGUAAGUAUUUUGAUUGCACGGUGAAGUCGGAGACUGGAGACACCAAAUCAUUGCAUUGUAACGGUAGUGAGUUUGUGUAUGUUGCGAAUGAACGACUUUGUUCCCGUAGAGGCAGCGUGAAAUGGCAACAAUUCGUCUUUACCAAUCUUGAAACAGAAAAUCUUUAUGCCACAAAAGAUUUUAUAUAUAUAUAUAUAUAUAUAUAUAUAUAUAUAUAUAUAUAUAUAUAUAUAUAUAUAUAUAUUAUCGUUUGUUUCCAGAGCAAGUGGCAAAGAAUUUUGUGGUCGAUAUCCGAAGUUCUAAGUUCGAAUUCUAAUUGAUNCGAAAGGAUUCAAAAUCAAUAAUUUUUAAUGGUUGAUAUCUGCCGUUUUCAAGUUUAACGGUGUAGAAGUAUUCAAAUCAGAUAAAAUUUUGAUACAAAAUUUUUUAUACUAUCUACCACAAGAUCAAUAUUUCUGAUCGAAAAUUUUAGUGCUAUAUCAUCACUUUUUAUAUGAUUUUCAUUUUCAGCCGUUAAAAAUUAUUAAUUUGAUUUUGAAUCCUUUCGAUUGCUAGGUAAAUGAUAUCGAAAAAUUGCAAAAAUUAUUUUCUAGAAACUUCAAAUACGCUAAAUCAAGUCUAACGGAGCCAAUCGUCGAUUUGGAAAUUCCAUCAUAAAAAAUAACUCGGGAGCACGGAGGGCUCCGUGCUCCUGAGAGCACAGCAGCCCAGCUCUCUCUGUCUCUCUCUCUGUCUCUCUCUCUCUCUCUCUCUCUCUCUCUCUCUCUCUCUCUCUCUCUAUAUAUAUAUAGUCCGGCUGGGAUCCUAGUUUGUUAAUUCGCGAAUUAUUCGCGAAUUAUUGAAAAUUCGAAUUAAGCGGUCCGUUUACGAAUUUUUUCCAAAAAAGUGAAUUAUUCGCGAAUUUUUGGGCCAGCCGAAUUAUUCGCGAAUUAUUCAUGAAUUAUUCCCGAAUUAUUUUCAAAUUAUUGAAAAUAUGAAUAAAAAACUUAUAAUUUUUAUUUUUAAAUAUAAAUUAUCUUAUAUUUUAUAUCUUAUAUUUUACACUUUAUACCGAAUCCUUUUUUUAAGCCGAAUUUUUCAACGAAUUUAAAAAUUAUAAAACGAAUUUUAUGCGUAUUAUAUUCGUACCGAAUUUUUGUCGAAUCCGAAUUAACUAACUAUGGCUGGGAUACUAUCGAUAGUACCAAACAUUUGGUGCUAUCAAGUUUUCUGCCAUUAGAUUUACCUUUUUUAUCAUUUUCAUCCGUUCGAUUAUACUAUUCAACCAACCACCUAUUCAACCCUAAGGGGUCCACAUUAUCCUAACCACACAUCUUUUAAUUCAAGGGUAGAAAACUUAAUAGCACUAAGUCAUUAGUGCUAUUAAUAGUAUUCCAGCCUAGUUAUAUAUAUAUGUAGAGUAGGUCUUGUGUGCUAUUAGGAGCACGGAAGCCUCCGUGCUCCUAAGCCGUUUUCGAUUAUAGAAUUUUCGAAUCGGCGAUCGGCUCUGUUAGAUUUGAUCUAGCAUAUUUGAAGUAACUAGAAAAUAAAUUUUGCGAUUUUUCGAUAUCAUUUACCUAACGAUCGAAAGGGUUCAAAAUUAACGGCUGAAAAUAAAAAUCUCAUAAAAAGUGGUGAUAUAGCACUAAAAUUUUCGAUCAAAAAUAUUGAUCUUGCUGUAAAUAGUAUAAAGAAUUUUCUAUCAAAAUUUUAUCUGAUUUGAAUACUUCUACACCGUUAAACUUGGAAACUGUAUAUAUCAACCAUUAAAAAUUAUUAAUUUUGAACCCUUUUGAUCACUAGGUAAAUGAUAUCGAAAAAUUACAAAAUUUAUUUUCUAAAUACUUCAAAUAUGCUAGAUCAAGUCUAGUAGAGCCGAUCGUCGAAUCAGAAACUCUAUAAUUGGAAACGACUUAGGAGCACGGAGGCCUUUGUGCUCCUAAUAGCAUACAAGACCUACUAUAUAUAUAUAUAUAUAUAUAUAUAUAUAUAUAUAUAUAUAUAGUGAGGCUAAUAUGCUUUUGGAAGCACGGAGCCUUUCGUGCUUACAGGUCGUUUUCGAUGUUGCGACUUUCGAAUCGUGGAUCGGCUCCGUUAAACUUGAUCUAGAGUAUUUGAAGUAUCUAGAAAAUAAAUUUUACGAUUUUUCGAUAUUAUUUGCCUAGUGAAUGAAGGGGUUCAAAAUCAACGACUGAAAAUAAAAAUCUUACAAAACAUGAUAAUAUGAACAUUAAAAUUUUAGAUCAAAGAUAUUGAUCUUGUUUUAUAUAGUAUAAAAAAUUUUCUAUCAAAAUUUCAUGUGAUUUGGAUAUUUCCACACCGUUAAACUUGCAAAUAGCUCACUACGGCCAUUAAAGAUUUUGAGCCCAUUCGAUCACUAGACAAAUGAUAUCGAAAAAUCAUAAAAUUUAUUUUCUAGGUACUUUAAAUACUCUAGAUCAAGUUUAACGGAGCCGAUCGACGAUUUGAAAGUCGCAACAUCGAAAACGACCUGGAAGCACGGAAAGCUCCGUGCUUCCAGAAGCAUAGUAGCCUCACACUAUAUAUAUAUAUAUAUAUAUAUAGAGAGAGAGAGAGAGAGAGAGAGAGAGAGAGAGAGAGAGAGAGAGAGAGAGUCUGGAGAUAAUUCUAUAUAUUAUAAAUAUAUAAUAUAUAUAUAUAUAUAUAUAUUAUUGAUGUUUCAAUAAAUUGUAAUAUAUCUAUUCUAUUUCAUUUUUAUUUAAGUUUAUUCUUGAACUAUCAUUUCCAUUAGGCAGAUUUGAAUUUAGAAGUAUUGAUUUAAAAAGUCGGACUUGAUAUUUCUGACAUAUAAGAAAUUGUCCAUUUUUUAUUUUUUUUUAAGGUACCGUUUGGUUCGGGUAUAAGCAAGAACUAACUAUUACUAGGAUGGACAAGUAUAGGAUAAGAAAAAUAGUGUAUUGAUGAAAAUUGAAAUUGUUCUCGAGGAUAGAAAAAUAUUAGAAAGUUUUAUAUAGAAAAUGGAGGGUGUUGGUGGAAUAAACCGAGAACUACUAUUCUCGGAUAAAAAUAUUAGGUUUGGAUAUAAAGGGGGAUAAGAGCCUAUUCCCUAUUCCUUACUUUCCAAACCAAACGGUCUAAGGGAUGCGCCCGUAGGGCCAAAUGCACACGUGUUGAUAAUAUCACUGGAUGCGUUACGUUAACGAAUAGGAUAUAUCUUCCCUUCCUGCUUUUCAUAUUAAUAUUUUUAUACUUCGGAAGGUUGCGGGAUAGGGUUCUACAGACAAGGCCUCAAAAGGAAAAAAGAAGUUUGGACAGUAACGUAAAUUUUGCAUCUUCAAUACCUUAAAUAUAAGGUGAGAAUUUCUAUCGAAGAAAGUUUUCGACGAAUAUUUAUUCAAUCUGUAAAAAUUUGUGUUAAAAAUAGGUAACACGUGACCACUUCAUUCAAUAAGAAAAUAAAUUUAGUAUAUUUGUAUUGAGAAGUCAUGACCUCGGAAUGAGAAACAAGUAGAUAGAAAAAAAA
rnacentral:lncRNA from 1 species